UUUAAUUCGAUGAUACGCGAGGAACCUUACCUGGGCUCAAAUAGUAUGUUGACGUAUUCUGAAAGGGAUACUUCUUCGGACAAUAUACAAGGUGCUGCAUGGUUGUCGUCAGCUCGUGCCGUGAGGUGUCGGGUUAAGUCCCAUAACGAGCGCAACCCCCAUCAUUAGUUGCCAUCAGGUCAAGCUGGGGACUCUAAUGAAACUGCCUACGCAAGUAGUGAGGAAGUGGGGAUGACGUCAAAUCAGCACGGCCCUUACGUCCAGGGCUACACACGUGCUACAAUGGCCGGUACAAAGGGCAGCUACCUGGUGACAGGAUGCUAAUCUCAAAAGCCGGUCUCAGUUCGGAUCGGAGUCUGCAACCCGACUCCGUGAAGCUGGAAUCGCUAGUAAUCACGCAUCAGCCAUGGCGCGGUGAAUACGUUCCCGGGCCUU
rnacentral:rRNA from 1 species